CCUACGGGAGGCAGCAGUAGGGAAUCUUCCACAAUGGGCGAAAGCCUGAUGGAGCAACGCCGCGUGAGCGAUGAAGGCCUUCGGGUUGUAAAACUCUGUCAUUCGGGACGAACCGGAGUCUGAGGAAAUGCAGACUCUCUGGCGGUACCGGAGGAGGAAGCCCCGGCUAACUACGUGCCAGCAGCCGCGGUAAUACGUAGGGGGCAAGCGUUGUCCGGAUUCACUGGGCGUAAAGCGCGCGCAGGCGGUGAUGUAAGUCUGAGGUGAAAACCCCGAAGCUCAACUUCGGGACUGCCUUGGAUACUGCGUCACUUGAGGAUAGGAGAGGCAAGGGGAAUUCCACGUGUAGCGGUGAAAUGCGUAGAGAUGUGGAGGAACACCUGUGGCGAAGGCGCCUUGCUGGCCUAUUUCUGACGCUGAGGCGCGAAAGCGUGGGGAGCAAACAGGAUUAGAUACCCUGGUAGUCCACGCUGUAAACGAUGAGUGCUAGGUGUAGGUGGGCUCAUACCCAUCUGUGCCGAAGCUAACGCAUUAAGCACUCCGCCUGGGGAGUACGGUCGCAAGACUGAAACUCAAAGGAUUGACGG
rnacentral:rRNA from 1 species